rnacentral:rRNA from 1 species
GACGCGACUUAGGCUUCGGUCUAAGUUGAGUGGCGAACGGGCCCUAAACACGUGGGUGACCUACCUUCGAGUGGGGGAUAACGUCCCGAAAGGGACGCUAAUACCGCAUAACAUCCUGCCUUUGAACAGGUGGAGAUCAAAGCCGGGGAUCGCAAGACCUGGCGCUUGAUGAGGGGCCCGCGUCUGAUUAGCUAGUUGGUGAGGUAAUGGCUCACCAAGGCGACGAUCAGUAUCCGGCCUGAGAGGGCGGACGGACACACUGGGACUGAGACACGGCCCAGACUCCUACGGGAGGCAGCAGUGGGGAAUUGUUCGCAAUGGGCGCAAGCCUGACGACGCAACGCCGCGUGGAGGAUGAAGGUCUUCGGAUUGUAAACUCCUGUUGCUCGGGACGAAAAGCUUUGACCUAACACGUCAAAGUCUGACGGUACCGAGUGAGGAAGCCCCGGCUAACUCUGUGCCAGCAGCCGCGGUAAUACAGAGGGGGCAAGCGUUGUUCGGAAUUACUGGGCGUAAAGGGCGCGUAGGCGGCCUGCUAAGUCGAACGUGAAAUCCCUGGGCUCAACCCAGGAACUGCGUCCGAUACUGGUUGGCUUGAAUCCGGGAGAGGGAUGUGGAAUUCCAGGUGUAGCGGUGAAAUGCGUAGAUAUCUGGAGGAACACCGGUGGCGAAGGCGACAUCCUGGACCGGUAUUGACGCUGAGGCGCGAAAGCCAGGGGAGCAAACGGGAUUAGAUACCCCGGUAGUCCUGGCCCUAAACGAUGAAUGCUUGGUGUGGCGGGUAUCGAUCCCUGCCGUGCCGAAGCU